rnacentral:rRNA from 1 species
UACGAAGGGGGCGAGCGUUGUUCGGAAUUACUGGGCGUAAAGGGCGCGCAGGCGGCCUUAGAAGUCAGAUGUGAAAGCCCCGGGCUCAACCUGGGAAUGGCAUUUGAUACUCUGAGGCUGGAGUACGGGAGAGGAGAGUGGAAUUCCCAGUGUAGAGGUGAAAUUCGUAGAUAUUGGGAAGAACACCGGUGGCGAAGGCGGCUCUCUGGACCGUAACUGACGCUGAGGAGCGAAAGCCAGGGGAGCAAACGGG